rnacentral:tRNA from 1 species
UGCCCGGUAGCUCAAUGGUGGAGCGAUCGGCUGUUAACCGAUUGGUUGGAGGUUCGAGUCCUCUCCGGGCAGCCA